GACGAACGCUGGCGGCGUGCUUAACACAUGCAAGUCGAACGAGAGCGUAGAGAAAGCUUGCUUUUUCUACAAUCUAGUGGCAAACGGGUGAGUAACGCGUAAACAACCUGCCCUACGGAUGGGUUCAACAGCUGGAAACGGCUGCUAAUACCGAAUACGUUCCGAAAGUCGCAUGACUAUCGGAAGAAAGGAUGGCCUCUAUUUAUAAGCUAUCGCCGGUGGAGGGGUUUGUGUCUGAUUAGCCAGUUGGAGGGGUAACGGCCCACCAAGGCGACGAUCAGUAGCCGGUCUGAGAGGAUGAACGGCCACAUUGGAACGGAGACACGGUCCAGACUCCUACGGGAGGCAGCAGUGGGGAAUCUUCCGCAAUGGGCGAAAGACUGACGGAGCAACGCCGCGUGAGUGAAGACGGCCUUCGGGUUGUAAAGCUCUGUUAUACGGGACGAAUAAUCUUGUGGUUAAUACCCAGGAGAAGUGACGGUACCGUAAGAGAAAGCCACGGCUAACUACGUG
rnacentral:rRNA from 1 species